UGCACUCAUUGAUGGACGGGCGUGUGGGAGAGAGACAAGAAUACAGUAAGCUUUGGAAAAGAGCUGUAUAUAUUUGAAACAAUGGCUCUCUCUUCCGCCGCCGCCGCCCCCCGCCUUGACACGCGCGCGCACACGACAGACUUCAGCAAGCAGGAACCGCGGUGGGAGGGGCGCCGUGGCGAUGGGUGGCGCAUUCUUGACAGCGGCGGCGGCGGCUGCUGCUGCUACUGCCAGGCGCUGAGGGAGAGCGGCCGCCUCUUCUUCACACCACAGAGGAAAUAGCGGGAGGAGGCGGCGGCGGGCUGCUGUCUCUUGCAGACAUUUCAGGCAGGACUGGAGAGAGAGAGAGGAAGCGAAAGGCACGGGCAAAACAUGCCAGGCGCCCUGGCGAAGAGAAGCCGCCUUGCUCUGGGCUGAGGGAAGAACUCCACGACCUGAUAGUUCCUCCCUCGCCUCUCUGCUCCGAGCCGGCAGAGGAACGGGCUGCUCGGGAGUCGGACACACCUCCUCCAGGGGGCUCCGCUCGGCUUCCCGGCUGCGGAGCGAGCGGCGCCUCGGAGCCCCUGUGGGUGGGCGGGCCAAGAGCGCAAGCGACCCGCGCGCCGAGGGAGCCCGGCUGGGUCCGCGCUAAGCAUGGAAAGCAAGCGCUGCUUCGCCAACCGCUUCGACGACUACAAGGGCAGCCUGCUGGCCGGGCAGGGCAAGGAGGCGGUGGCGCCCUUGGUGACGGCCACGGUGGACCGCAUCCUCAAGGAGGUGCCCCCGCUGGGCGGCGCCGAGGCCGCGGGCGGCCUGGGAGGCUGCCAGGGCGGGCUGUACGGCGGCGUGGCCGGCGUGGCCUACAUGCUGUACCACGUCGCGCAGUGCCCGCUCUUCGCGCCGGCCCGGGACUCGUACCUGCGCGCCGCCAAGCAGCUGGUGGACGCCUGCGUGCGCUACGAGGAGGACUGGGGCGACGCCGACGCCGACACCCGCGCCGCCUUCCUGCUGGGCGGCGCCGGCGUCUAUGCCGUGGCCGCGCUCGUCUACCAGGCGCUCGGGCUGCCGGACUGGGCCAGGCCGCUGGGCAAGUUCCGCGAGCUGUGCGAGCUGUGCGCCCCGCUCACCUUCCUCGACUGCGGCUCCGACGAGCUCUUCGUGGGCCGCGCCGGCUACCUGUGCGCCGCCCUGGUGCUGAAGCAGAAGCUGGGAUUGGAGGUGUUGACUCCACCGCAAAUCAAGUCAAUUUGUCAAGCAAUGUUAGAGUCUGGGAAACAGUAUGCUCUGAGGAAGAGAAAACCAGUUCCACUCAUGUACUCUUACUAUGGAACAGAAUACCUUGGAGCUGCUCACGGCCUUUCAUCCAUCCUACAGAUGCUGCUUUCCUACUAUGAAUAUAUUCCGCCUGCUGAUCAGGAACUAGUAUGGCAGAGUGUUGACUUUCUUAUGGAUCAAGAGCAGAAUUGCAACUGGCCUCCAGAACUAGGAGAGAUGAUUGAACGGGAGAAUGAGCUUGUGCACUGGUGUCAUGGCGCUCCAGGUUCUUCUCAAUGCAUUGCAUACAUGUUUGCAAAAGCAUACUUAGUUUCUAAGAAGCCCCAAUAUCUAGACAGUUGUAUCCGCUGUGGAGAACUAACUUGGCAGAAGGGACUACUGAAGAAAGGACCUGGAAUAUGUCAUGGAGUGGCUGGCAGUGCUUACGUGUUCCUGCUCCUAUACAGGCUAACUGGAAAUUCUAAGUACAUCUACAGAGCACAAAGGUUUGCUGAAUUCUUGUUUACUGAAGAAUUUAAGGCUGGAUCCCGGGAACUGGAAAGUGUUUACAGUCUGUAUGAAGGUUUCUCAGGGACAGUUUGCUUCCUGGUUGACUUGCUACAGCCUAACCAAGCUGAAUUCCCCCUCUUCAGUGUCUUUGUGUAAAAUGGAACAUGUUCCACUGCCGGGACAGGAUAAAGGCACUGUUUCAGUUCACUAUCAAGGAAAGCGAUUUUAGAAUAUGUCCAUUUCUGCAUUGCCACUAAUGAGAUAGCCUUAACGUUGCAGGGUGCGGGGUGGGGAGAGCAGGUUUAACACACACACACACAUAUAUAUUCUGGGGCUUGGGAAGGGAAGCAUGUGGUUUAUAAAUAAUAGGUAGCAUUUUUAUUCAAAGGUUAGAAAAGGGUCUGGCAUUUUUACAAAACUGAAAAGGAAUCAAAAUUCAGAUGAAUUAUGGGAAGUUAAAUGAAGUUCACGAAAACUGACAGCGUUCUGUCUUCCACAAGGUAGAUUGGUUAAAGGACAAAAUGCAAAUUUGGAUUUCAGAGAAGUGCAAGUGGGGGAGAAAUGUGAACAAUGCAUUAUUUAAAAGCACACGAAAAGUAUAUUUUUAUGGUACAUUGGCACAUUAUUUUGGGGAAGGCAGGCAAUAAGAAAAGUAAAACUGUCAAACAUGUUUGACAUAUUCCAGAAAUUCAUAUUAGGGCAAUGUCUUUAUUAGGCCAACCAAAAUGCCACAAAAGAGCAUGCCGGGUUUUGAGCUCCCCAGAAUUCUUCAUGAGGUUAGGUGGCAACAACCUGGGAGAAAGCCGCCCAGCAAGAGUCUUAAGAUGGAGUGUAGGAGGUAGCAGACAUUCAAAUAAAGCCCAUUUUACGUACCUUGCAGGAAUCAAGCUCCAUUGUAGCCUCCUGGCAAGGACUAACUCAUAAUGGCAAAGUGCCCUUAAGAGAUGGGAACUCUGCCAUUGUUGGCUGGGGAUGAAAGGUGCUAGUCCAUCAACACCUGCAGGGCCAGAGGUUCCCCACCUCAAUUCUAGGUCACUGUUUCCCAGUGUAGGCAGGUGAAAUUGUUGCCUUUGCUUACCUCUUUGGCAACAGGUUUUCUCUCCUCUAUAAAAAGUCAUUCUAACCCUCAGCUAUAGUAAAAUUGCGAAAUGCUGCAAAAUAGAACAUAGAUGGGUACUUGUUAUUGCAUGGGUCAUGGGAUAAGAAAAUAAUCUUUGCUGAUGAGCUACAUUUGUUUUCAUAAAAUAUAUUAGAUUCAACCCAAGGGGAUAUUGUUUAAGACUCCCUGUGGGUGAUUUUCUGCUCACAGGAUGCUAAGGGUGUGAAAUAGAACUGGUGCAAAUUGUGUCCCUCCUGCCAUUGGCUCAAAGGCCAAUGAACAGAAGGGUUUUUUUCCCAUUUGUGGAAGAACAUGUCUGGAGCCAACCCUACUUAUUGAUGAUUAUUCUUUAAAUUUAAGAAUAUCAUUAUCCUUGCGGGAGAAAAGUCUAGUGAGAGUAGCAAAGUUUAAGGGAAUUCACCCUCCCCUGUUAAAUACUAUGAAAUGACUCUAGCAUUGAUUACUUAGUAGCCUAGCUUUAGAAUAUUAAGUUGGUUUUUCAUGCCAACCUUCUGCAAGCUGGUGGUCUCAAG